GCCAGAUGUGCUUCCUUGCUGUGAUGUUUCUUGAGAGACCUUCCCUUGUUGAACCAACAUUCAUAAGAGAAAUGUCCCAUCUUGUGGCAUGUGAAACACUCCACAUUUCGUCUAUCUUUCUUUUUGUAAUAAUGAUCUGCAUUGCUUCUUCUGUCUGAAGAAUCAGGUCUGCCUUCCCGUUCAUCAUCUUCAUCUUCCCGUUCAUCAUCUUCAUCAUUCUUCCAUUUAUCUUGUGUCGUAGAUUUACC
rnacentral:lncRNA from 1 species